rnacentral:rRNA from 1 species
GACGAACGCUGGCGGCGUGCCUAAUACAUGCAAGUAGGACGCAGUUGCGAACGGGUGAGUAACGCGUAGGUAACUACCUAUUAGAGGGGGCUAACUAUUGGAAACGAUAGCUAAUACCGCCUACUAGUCGAUGGACCUGCGUUGUAUUCGCUAGUAGGUAGGGUAAUGGCCUACCUAGGCAACGAUACAUAGCCGACCUGGGGAGGUGGACGGCCAAACUGGGACUGGGAAACGGGCCAGAAUCCUACGGGAGGGAGCAGUAGGGAAUCUUCGGCAAUGGGGGGAACCCUGACCGAGCAACGCCGCGGGAGGGAAGAAGGGUUUCGGAUCGUAAAGCUCUGUUGUGAAGGGAGCGGUACUUAACCAGAAAGGGACGGCUAACUACGUGCCAGCAGCCGCGGUAAUAC